GACAGAGGGUGCAAACGUUGUUCGGAUUUACUGGGCGUAAAGCGUGUGUAGGCGGCUUGGCAAGUUGGAUGUGAAAGCCCACGGCUCAACCGUGGAAGCGCACCCAAAACUGCUUCGCUCGAGUCUCGGAGAGGAAGGUGGAAUGCUUGGUGUAGAGGUGAAAUUCGUAGAUAUCUGGAGGAAUACCGGUGGCGAAGGCGGCAUCCUGGACCGAGAUUGACGCUGAGGAGCGAAAGCUAGGGGAGCAAACGGG
rnacentral:rRNA from 1 species